UGCAUCUGGGGCCUGUGAGGAUGAGAACCUCCGGGGGCAGGAGGUUCGACUCGAGCGAAGCGAGAGAACGUUGCGUCAGCAACGGCCCGCAGGGCGAGCCACGAAG
rnacentral:sRNA from 1 species